AUUGAACGCUGGCGGCAGGCUUAACACAUGCAAGUCGAACGAGUGGCGAACGGUUGAGUAACGCAUCGGAACGUACCGAGUAAUGGGGGAUAACAGUCGGAAAGGACAGCUAAUACCGCAUAUAUUUCUAGCGGCCGAUGCCUAAUUAGCUGGUUGGCGGGGUAAAGGCCCACCAAGGCGACGAUCAGUAGCUGGUCUGAGAGGGUGAUCCGCCACACUGGGACUGAGACACGGCCCAGACUCCUACGGGAGGCAGCAGUAGGGAAUUUUGGACAAUGGGCGCAAGCCUGAUCCAGCCAUGCCGCGUGUGUGAAGAAGGCCUUCGGGUUGUAAAGGACUUUUGUCAGGGAAGCGGUACCUGAAGAAUAAGCACCGGCUAACUACGUGCCAGCAGCCGCGGUAAUUC
rnacentral:rRNA from 1 species